UAUCUAUUAAUAAAGGAGUAGACAAAGCAUCAGUCCCCUUUGGCUCCACUUGGAUGUGUCCUUGGACACAGCUCUUCAUUCCAUUGACUUAGAAGCAAUA